CAAGGAAUUCGAACAACAUUCCAACCACCUUGUUGAUUGGCUAGAUGUCAAUGAACCAAUAAUUUCAAAGGAGAUCAACCUAAAAUGUCCAUUGGAAUCAAUACAGCAACAACUUGCUCAAGCCGAGGAUAUUUGUGUUGAAGCACAAACUGAGAGAAAGUGCGUGGAUGCAAUGACAGAAACUGCUAGCUUGAUGAAUGGCGUGAUGGAUGACACAUCGCAAGAGAUACUGAGCAACAAACUUGCAAGACUUCAAGAAAGAUAUGAGAGUGUUGCAACAGAAGCAAAUGAAAAAGUACAGAAGUUGCAGUCAGUAAUUAAACAGAGACAAGCCUUCGAGAGUCAGAUUGCCAAGUGUGAAAGCAUGCUUGAUGACCUGACAAAGCUAACUGAAGAAUUCAAAGAACCCUUUUCACACACAGUUGAAUUUGUACAGGAUAAACUUCAGAAGUGCUUGAAUGUAAGAGCCAAAUUAACAGCUAGUCAGCCACCAGUAGAAGCAUUACGACACAGGAGUGACUUCAUGUACAAAGCCGGUCAAGUUGACUACACGCAUAAGGUGUCAAACGUCAAUCAUGUGUACUCAGAACUGGUCAACAUGACUGACCAUUACAAGAAGAACUUAGAAGAUGCUGUAACUACACGUGAAGACUCUCAGAAGUUUAUCAGCGAACUACAGUUUUGUCUGGAGCACUGUUAUAGUGACAUGGUAGAACUAGAUCAACCAGGCAUUGUGGCUGAACAGAAACUUGAGAAGUGCAUGUCUUUGCUAUCUGAGUUGACGUCCAAAGAACCAGUACUAGAGAACCUUGAAGCCAAAGCUGCUCAGAUUAUAAAACAAGGAGAUGAAAGUGACAGAAAGGCCAUGGAAUCAAUCAUUGGUAGACUUACUGCUAACAUCACGGACACCAAGAAUAACCUUCAGCAAAGAGCUGAUAGCCUAGCAGAUGCUAUCAACCGGAAGGAUACAUUAGAUAUGGAUAUUAAAGCAGCCUUGAGGCGGAUGAUGGAUACAGCUGUAGGCCUCACCAAGGAAGAACCAAUGGCACUUGCAGUGGAUGCUGCUGAAGAGACUCUCAAGAAAUUCAAGGGUAAACUUCCAGGGUUAGAAGAAGAGCUAGCAAAAGCAACUGACUUGGUAGCAGAUGUAAAGAAGAGCUACAGCGACUUCAGUGAGCCAAUGCCCCCACAGCUAGUUCACAAAUUAGAUCAAAUUGGGAACCUAAAUAGUAAGGUGGCACAGGCCUUGAAUGCAAAGCUGAAGAAACAGGAAGAUGGUGUGGAAUGUAGAAGAGUCUUCCAGGAUGAACUGAAGCAGCUCAAAGAUUGGCUAGUGGAAGCAGAGAAGGCCCUCAAUGAAGCUAAGAAAGGAGCUAAUUUUAGUGAUCUAGGUAGUCAAAUCCAUGACCAUGAGGAAUUCUUUAAGAAGGAACCGGACAUUCAGGAUAUGAUGGAUGAUGUGGUGGAAUUGGCUGCAAGAAUUUCAUCAUCAUUACCAAAUGAAGACAACAUAAAUAUGAAAGAUGAGUUGAAAAAUGUGAACAUUCGAUUAAAUGAUGUGUCUGAUACAGCUGGCACAGUGUCAGAGCAACUAAAUGGCUGUCAAAAUGACUGGGAUAAGUUCUGUAAUCAAAUCCAAGAUAUUGAGUCAGAGUUGUUGGCUAUUGGAGAACGUGCUGUUUAUAUUAAUCCAGCAACUGAAGAAAUUGCAAAAGAAAACCAACUGCUUAACAAGGAGCUCUGUGACCAGAUUGAAGCAGUUGAUGUUUGUUUGCAAGACUUAAAAAAGAUGGCAGACAACCUUGAAAAAGAUGCAAAUGAUGAUGGUUGCCAAGCAAUCCAUGAUUCCAUCGAGCCACUAGUCACACAUUUCAAUACAGUCAAAGAUGAACAAGAGGAGCGCAGACUGAAUUUGAAAGCCAUUGCUGACAAAUGGAAAAAGUAUAAUGAUUGUUUGAAGGAAGCCAAUGAAGUUAUAGAUAAUGCCACAAACUAUAUGCCGGAGGAGUUAACAUUUGGUGUACCAACAGAAGAGCUUAUACAGCAACUGCAGAAUUCAAAAGCUGCUAAUAUGAAACUUGAGGAGGGAAGGCCAUUGAUGGAGAACCUACAAGAAGCAGCUCAACAGCUUUGUGAACAAGUACAGGAUUUGGAGUGCAUACAACCAGUUGAAAAGGCUUGUAAGGCUGCAGAACAAACAUCACAAAGGAUGUUGGAUGCAACACAGAAGCAGAUGGCAGAACUUCAGACUGCUCUAGAAGAUCGGCAUAGCUAUGAGGAAGAGAUUGAUGCCUGUGACCAUGCUUUGGAUGAACUGGAGUCUCUUUUACACAGUAUUGACCUCCCAUGUAGUUACACUGUAGAAGAUGCCCAAAUGCAGCUGAGCCAACAUCAGGACUUGAAAGACAGAAUUGGUGCCUAUGAACCAGUCAUUGAUAUUCUGAAACAGAAGCAAGCUGCCAUGCAUGAGAAAGGCCAGAUUGACCAUGCUGAGGAUGUAGAGAAGCUGGAAGCCCUCCACAAUACUCUACUUGACAAGUUAGAGGACAAGUGCACUCAGCUUGAAGAAGCUGUGGCUGUCAGAGAAAAGUUCCAUGAUGGAAUUGAAAAACUAAAGAACUUUGUAAAGAAGAGUGAAAAUGAAGUAGAAGGAUGGGAAGAACCAGGAACCAUUGCGGAGGAAAAGUUGGACAGUUGUAAUGCUCUGGUUACUGAGCUGCAAUGCAAGGAAGACUUGAUUGCUGAAUUAAACAGUUUACGUGGAGAGAUUGCUGAGCUUGGGGAGCCGGAGGAUACACAAGCCCUUGAUAAACUGAUGAGUAAAGUCACCGAUGACAUCUCCAAGUUGGAGGACAUACUGCGCAAGGAUAAAGAUGAGUUUGUUGCUGGUGUGCAGAAGAAGGAUGAGUUGGGAAAGGUGAUAGAAGAAAUGACAGAGUGGAUGGAAGAAACAGUUGCUAACUUCCAACGUGAUGUUCCUAUUGGAAUGACUGCAGCCAGUGCUGGAGUUUCAUUGGAGCAACACAAGAGCAAACAACCAGAGAUCCAAGAACAGAUUAAAAUUGCCAAACAACUUGUAAUUGAUACAAGACAAAAAUAUGAAGAGUUAAGAGAACCAGUUCCACCAGCACUUGAUGAAAAACUCAACCAAAUAAGUUCAGACUGCACCAGACUAAUAUCAGCAGUAGAGCAAAAAGGAGAGAUGUAUGAAAAGGCAUUGAGCUUGCGGGAAGAAUUUGAAGAAAUAUUAGAGUCAUUGGAAGAACAGCUUGAAAGAGGAGAGCGAGUUCUUAGCUCUGAAAUUGAAGGCAUUAAUUUCUCUAACAUUGAUGCACAGAUUCAAGAUCACAAGGAUGCUUUUGAUGAUGAAACAUCUUACCUGGAAAAGAUUGAGACGCUGGAUGAACUAGCAGAGAACAUCUCACCAUCUCUACAGCCUGAUGAGUAUAUUUCCUUAAAAGAGAAAAUGACAACACUGAACCAACGGCUCUCUGAGGACCUGGCACUUGCAAGAGAGAAUGACAGAACAUUGGAGGAGAGUCGUGGUGCAUGGCAGGAUUUCGUAAGCAAUACUGAUGAGGUUCAAGCAGCAUUAGCAACUCUCGAACAAAGGGCAAAUUAUGCAGUUCCUAAUUCACUGCAGGUUGCUCAAGAGAAUGUACUAUUAAACAAGAGCAUUGAAAAGGAGGUGUGGUUGCAGAGCAUGGCCAUGAGACAACUUGAGAACCAGUGCCAAGCCCUUAUGCAACUUGGCAGUGAUCCUGGACAAGCCACAGUUGAAACUAAAAUUCAACCAAUCAAAGACCAACUGGAGAUGCUCAAGUCUGAUUGUGCUACAGAGACCCCACAACUGCAAGACGUGGUUGACAAAUGGCAGGACUACCAAGAUGCAUUGCAAGAUGUCAAUGAUGUCAUUAUUGAUUCUGUGCAGUUUGUCCCAGUAUCAGUGCCACUUAAUCUGCCAACAGAAGACAUCAAUCAACAGCUUAAUAAUGCUCAGGUUGCAAGUGAGAUCUUAGCCGAGGGAGAGAAUAAGCUUUUAAAGUUGCAAGAGGCUACAAAAGCAUUGGUUGAAUGCAUUGGCGAUGAAGAUAUCAGUGAACCAACAACUAAAGAUCUUGAAAAUAUUUCUGAAAAAUACCAAAGAGUAUCAGAUGCCGCAAAAGAACAAGUGGAAAGACUGGCUGAUGCAAUCCAAGAACGAGCAGACUAUGAGACACAAAUUGAUGCUUGUAAAAAUGACCUGUGCAAUCUGGAGAAAUUACAUGAGAACCUGAAUAAGCCAAUUGGCUUUAAUAUUACUGAUGCGGAGGAGUCACUUAGAGAAUGCCGGGAUUUGCAGUCCCAGUUAGCUCUUCAACUUCCACUGUUAGAACAACUAAAAGAAAAGAAAGACGAGAUGACCAGUAAAGGGCAGAUAGAUCAUGCAGAGAAAGUGCAGGAGCAAAUUGACUUACUUGACAGUCUGAUAAAAACCUGUGAUCAAAAGUGUGAAAAACUUGAAGGUGCUCUAGCUGACAGGAUGGCCUUCCAUGAAGACUUGUUGUCUGUUCAGGGGCAGAUGCAUCAUUGUCAAUCUGAGCUAAAAGAAAUGCAAGAAGCUGGAGCCUCACCAGAAGAUCAACUAAACAAAAGUCAGGAAUUUAAAGAAAUUCUGAAAGAGUUGCAGCCAAAGAUAGAGCAACUAGAGGCAAACGGUCAGCUGCUUGCCAUUGAAGGUAUCAGCAGAGAUCAAUCAAUGUUGUCAGCAACAAUGAAAACUCUCAAAGAGGACUUAGAUGUCACACUUCAAGAUCUUGAGCAAGAAGAGGCAAAUAUCAAAGACAAGGUUUUGGAAAAAGAGAAACUGACUGCUGAGGUUGGAGACAUGCUGGCAUGGCUGGAAGGGAUCAAAGACACCAUGCUUGCAGAGGAUCCCAUUGGAAUUGAUGUCCAACAAGCUGAGGAGUUGUUGCAGAUUCACCAGUCGGAAAUACCAGAUGUUGAAAAUAUGUUACAGAGGGCUCAAGCUAUCAUCAUCACCACACACACAAAGUUUGCCAGGCUUGGAGAUCAAGUCCCAGAUGAGAUACAAGAACAGCUUGCCGAGAUUGAUAACUUACAUUCGCAAGUUCUUCAGGCAGCUAAGCAGAAGGAAGAAAGUCUGGAGUAUGCUGCUAGGAUCAGGGAAGAGUUUAAUCAGAGGUCAGAAGAGAUUGAAGACUGGAUAGCUGAGGCUAAGAAAUUAAUUGAAGAAGAAAAUCAAGGCAUUGAUUUUGGAAUAGUUAAGAACCAGAUGCAGAAACAUCAGGACUUUUUUGAUGAGCUGCCAAACUAUGAAACCAAAAUGGAAGACUUGUCUCAGCUUGGCGGGAAUAUUGCCAAUAGUCUGCCAGCAGACGACAAAGCUGCAAUGAUAGCCCAGCUUCAGAGGUUAUCAUCAGGUCUGAAAGAAGUAUCAACGGCAUCAGCAGAAUGUGAAGAGAUGUUAGAGAAGGGCAUCGGCGAUUGGGAGACUUUCAAAGACAGAGUGGAAGAGCUUGAAAAGAAAGUUAAUGUCCUCGAAAAAAAAGAUAAAAUGGCAACACCUUCAACUAUUGAUAUUGCAAAAGAAAACCAACUACUGAAUCAGAAUAUAGCUAAGGACUUGCAGACCUUACAACCAGAAUUUGUAUCGCUUGAGGAAGAAGCUAUGAACCUUGACAAUAAAGCUAAUGACCAGGGAAAGAAGACAGUUGCACUCCAGAUAAAACCUCUCGAAGAAGGCAUCUUAGACCUGAGACAGCAUCUUAAGAAAGAAGAACUUCAGUUGCAAGAUAUGCUACAGAAGUGGAAUGACUAUCAUGAAUCUAUGCAAGCAGUUGAAGCUGUUAUAGCUGAUGCAAACCAGUUUAUACCGGAUAAUCUAUCCCAUGAUGCUCCAUAUGAUGCCUUGCUUCAACAUUUGGACAAUGCUACGUUGGCCAAUGAAAAGUUGUUUACUGGAGAACCUAAGCUUGUUCAUCACAAGAAUGCAACAGAUGAUCUCAUUGAUCAGAUCAAAUCUGCAAAGAGCUCUCAUCCAAUCAAAGAUGACUUCCAAAAGCUACAGGAAACAUAUCAUAGGCUUCAGAAAUCUGCUUCCGAAAAACAGGCAAUAAUCAGCAUUGAACUGGAGGAAAGAAGCAAUGUGAUGGAAAUGCUCAGUGAAAUUGAAGAGGGGUUGUGUGAAUAUAAUGUAACAGCUUCAACCUUCAAUGAUAGUAUUGGCCCAGCAUUGGAUGAUGUUGACAAUAAGCUGGAACACUCUAGGGAGAUUCAAGAAGGAAUCAGCAAAAAGUCUGCGGAACUAGAUCGCAUUGAAAGUGGCCAGGAGAGGAAGUACGUGGCCUAUCACAGUGAUCCACCGGCGGAGAUUAUCGCAGAGAUUUGCAGACUAAGAUGUUUGGUAAAUGAUGUUAGCCAACAACUGCAAGAGAAUGAAGAGGAGCUUGAUAGUGCAAAUGAAUUGAGAAGAAGCUUCCAUGAUCAAAUAGAGCAGUUAGAAGAUCAGAUGAAUGCCACUGCAGAAAGAAUGCAGGAACCAAUUGAAGCUGUCCCUGACGGCAUCUUGUCUCAAGAGGAUAUUCACCAUGAGAUUCUCGGCCUAAGCCCAGCUCUGGAAGCUGUCCAAAACCAAGCUCAGCAAAUUACAGAACAGACUGAAAACUGUGAAGAGAAGGAGCAGGUUAUUGCUGUAGUGAAUUCAAUCCAACAGAAGUUGUCUGAGCUUCAGCAUGACUCAUCCAAAAAGGGGGAAAGGCUAUCAGAGGCUGUAGAAAUAUGGGAGGCUUAUCAAGAUGCCUUGCAUAGUGUUGAGGACUGGAUACAAAAAAGCCAACCAAUCAUCGCAACUGAUCUUGAUCUCGAUAACCCAGAUGAUGUUGCCAACCAGUUGCAUGUUCAUAAGGAUGUUGUUGCUAUAUCACCAAGAAUUCAUGAAAAUCUUGAAACAAUGAAUACAGCUGCAGGAAAGCUUGCUACUGUCUGCAACACAGCACCUUUAGUGGAGAAGGCUGUCGAGAUGAAUGAGGUAGCAACUGAACUUGAGUCGUCUGCUACACAACGCUUGCAAGCGCUAGAAAGACUGGCCAAUGAUUGGCAGGAUUAUCAGCAGCGAGCUCAGAAACUUGAGAAGGAACUUCAGGAGUUGAAAGAGAUCCUGAUGGAUCCAGAGUCGAAUGAGAAGAAUUUGAAUGAGCAACUUGAGCUAACGCAGGAUGUUGUUGCAGAUUUGAAUGAAUUAAAAGAAACUCUUCAAGAACUGCAGAAAAGGAAACAACAACUUAUUGGAUCACAUCACCCAACUCACACAGAUCCUAAACUUGCAAAUCUAGAAGAGGAAUUGGACAAGAUUGAAGAAAUAACUCAAGAUAACCAAGACCUUUUGGAACAGUCCAUUCACCAACAGGAUAGUUUUGUGGCACAUCUUGAAAAACUUUCCAGAAAGAUGUUGGAAGCUCAGGAGAUGGUGGUCUCAACGCCAAUAACUGCUGAUGACAUACCAGGACUAGAACAUCAACUGAGUCAACAUGAUGCAUUGUCAUCAGAACUGCAAACGUUCGAGAUUGGUAUAAAGGAUAUAAACACAAAGAAGAUAGAAUUGCAAGAACAAGCCAACCGUCUACAGGAGGCUCGUAAAAAAGCAAAAGAAAAAUUGGAUUCUACUUCUACUCCAGUUUCUUAUGAAAAACCAGUAGAAGCAUCAGAGGUGAAAGACACAGUGGAGAGACCUAAAGAAAAACUAGAGUAUACUUUGUGUCUAGCUUCAAAGCCUAGACUACCAUUUGAAGAUCUGAAAGAAGAAGGAAAUGUCUGCCUUGAGGCUGUCGCCAGAGAGCUCACUAAGCCUUCAUCAAAAAAGCAUAAAAGAAAGUUGACCGAAGAAGAUGUGCCAGAAAGUGGUCUAGGCAGCUCUGCUGAAUUUCCUGAAGAAUAUUCACCAACGACAAAGUGGACAACUGAGAGUUUUCCGGACAGAAUGUCUGGUUUUUCAUCUAUCAAAACUUUGCCAGAACUGGUUCUUAGAAGUCGCAACAGAAAUUUAGCAGAUUGUGUUUCUGAGGAUGAGAUAGAUGGAAAGGUUUCUGGAGAGAGUGAUGCUGCCUCGCUGCCAUCCUUUGCUAGUGGUAUAUCCUCACCUGCAUUCUAUACACCAGAUAACGGUAGUCCUUUACACUCACAAGAUGAAAAUGAUGAGGAUGAUGGUACACCAGUUGGAGCAUCUCCUGACCUUUCUGCUCUUGGAAUGUUUCAGCGAAUAUUGCAAAUUAAAGAAAAGUCUCCAAAAACAGAGGAAACAGAUGGGUCACUAGAGAUUGUGAUACCAGAGGAAGAAUCUCAUAUUUGGAAGCCUUUAAUUGAAGCCCCUAGUCCAUUGGUUGAAGUGUCAGAUGUCUACCCAAUUGCUCAGGAGGAAAGAUCACUUUCAUUUGAAGAUGAAUUAAUAGAUGAAAUGGAAGUUCCAAAACAAAAUGUUGAGAUCAAGCCAUUGAAAUUAAAUUUACCAGAUGCUCCAACACCCCCACCAUCCCCAGUAGGAGAGCAUAGACCCUCAGUGUCAUUCAGUGAUGAUGAUAUAGCAAUACUUGAAAAUUAUUUACAACCUCCAGAAAAAAUUUCUCUUAGUGACAUGCAACAGGAAUUGGCAAAGCUAGAAGUUGAUCCAUCUCUGAUUCUAAGCAGCACUGGCAUUGAUGCAAGAUCUUCUUUUCCUAUUAUUGAUGAAAGUAUUGACAGAUCUUGUGUCUCACCGGUUGAAACCCCUCUUCAGGAGCUUCUUGAUAAGGGUAAUAAUCUGCCAGCAGAAAAGCUUUUUCCUGAGAAGAGAGGUCCUGUGCAUCAUGUGAAAUUCCAUACUCCACUAGUUCAAGGAGAGUUAGAGGAGGAUAAUAUUCCAGAAUUGGACUUAAGUGAAAAACCUGCAGUUGAUGGAACAAGUCACCUCUAUGCUCCAAGCUUUCUUGAGAGUUAUCCUAUGUCACAAGCAGUUUCUCCAGUUAGGCAGCCAUUCAGGAACCAAGCACCACCUCGUGGUUCAACAUGGCAAUCAUCCACAUCCCCAAGAUCAUCACAUGAACCUGAGGCAUCAUUAGCUGUUUUGUCUCCACAGUCAAGGGUUGCAAUCGGAUCAGCUGUGAGUCCAAUAAAGCCAGUAACUCUUCCAAGUGGUCUGCAUCUUGACGAUGAACCCAAACCCAGAAUGCUGUCUUUCACGGAUGUUGAUGACGAUAAGAAAGUUGAAGAUCUUAACAAGUCAUGGAUUCACCUUCAGAACAAGAUGCAAGAGAAGCAAAACCAACUGAGAGAAGCUUUGAAACGUCAAGUUGCCUACCAGGAUGCCUUAUCACAAGUCAGCAUUGACAUGGAAACUGCAGAGUCAACUAUUGAAGAAAUUGAACAACUCUCUGAACUUCCGCAGAAGAUUGAACAUGUCAAGGUUCUUCUUGAUGAAUUAGAUGACAUCAAGAAUGCAAUUGAGGCUGUUCAUGACAAGGGAGAACGUAUUCUGCUGCCUGGAGAUGUCAACAGUAGAGAAGCUAUGUUAGCAUCUUUAGACCUCCUGCAAGAGAAGGUUGGCAGACUCAAGCAGAAUGCCAAAGAUCUCUGCUAUGAUGCUGAGGCAAAACAUAAAGAACAUGAGGAGAAUAUCAGCAAGCUUGAAGCUUGCCAAGAAGAACUGCAGUUUAUUCAUGAUUGGACUUCAGAGUUGACAUUGACUCUAGAAGUUGAGAAUGAAGAUGAAGAAGAGGAGGAACUUGAACCAGAUAUUGCUGGAAUUCAAGAAGAAAUCAUAAAAAACCAGAAUCGUUUGCUGGAAGUCAGUCGCAAACUGCAGAAGUUGGAUGACAUCCAAUCAUUCCUUGAGGAUACACUCGCGGUAGAAGAGAUUCCUCUUGGUUAUGAACUUCUAGAUCGAGAGGCUGAGCAGCGAGAGCAACUGGAGAAGUUGAAACAAGAGCUGAGCGAUAAACAAGGGAAUUUGUGUGCUAAUCGUGAUGCCGAACGACUUGUGCAAGAGUACAAGGUUAUGCAAGAUUGGAUAGAGAAGAAUCAGGCAGCCUCUAGCUUUCUGUUGUCACCAGAGGAAGCAUGCUUUAAUGUUGAGAUGCUACAGCAACAAGCCCAACUUCAGCAGAAACUUGAGGAAGAGUUGUCUGCACAUCAAACCCUCGUAAAAUCUAUCGCCAGAAAAGGCCAGCGAAGGAGUCGUAGAACGGCCAGUACAACCAGUAACGAUGGGGAUAGUGACCAGGAUGUUAAUGAACUGAAAGCCCGAUGGGAAGAAAUAUCAGCACACCUUGGCGAUAAAAAACGGCAAUUACAAACUUCACUGGAAUACGGUAGACCACAGGAAUUCAUGCCAACAUCAAGUUAUCGUCAGCCAAGGAGAUCCCUGACAUACAAUGAUGAGGAUGAUGCAACUUCAACAGAGGAACUGAAGGCAUCUCUUGGGCAUCUGAAUCAGUGCUGGGAAAAGCUGCAGAUGCAGGUGGAUGACAAGCAGACUCAGCUAGAGCAGGCAUUUGAGUUCCAGGGACAUUACCAAGAAGCGCUGGAGACAGUGUCCAGUUGGUUGGACAACGUUCAAGUGAAACUGUUCGCGUCAGAUAAGGGCAAGGACGCACAAACUCAAUUAGAAGAGAACACUACACUACAAAAUGAACUACAGUCAUUCCAAGAACAACUAAAAGUAAUGAAUGAUGCAUGCGAGAUGAUCGUUGCGGAGGCAGAUGUCCGUGAUAAAAACCUGAUCAAGCAAGCCUUGAGCGAUCUCAAUGAAAGGCUGACAACGCUGGAGAAAGAAGCACAGCAGAAGGAACAGGACCUUGUUGAAAAGAAUAAACAGUUCCAGGAAUACCAGGAUGAGGUCCAAAAUUUUCAGACGUGGUUAAAUGAGACAAGGGAGAUGCUAGAGGACGAGUCAGGGGACGACCAACCAGAUGGUACCCUUGGUGAUGUAGAACAAAGACUGAUACAGAAUCAGCAACGAAGGCAACAGUUUCAGAAACUUGAAGAAGAUCUUGUUGAAUAUGAAACUAAUUUCCGUGAUUUGAUGGACAGAGGUCAACAGUUACAGAUCACCAAUCCUCAAGCCUCUGUUGCCAUGGAUAUUGCCGGGCUAAAAACAAAUUGGGAAGAACUCCAACGACAAACAAGUAACAGGAAAAACCAACUUCAACGCAAGAAAAUGUUCCAGGAACAGUAUCACAAAAUCAUUGAGGAUUAUAGUGAGUAUCUAGCAACAGCAGAAGAGAAGUUACGCAAAGAUGAAGUCAUCGCUACUGACCUUGCUGACCUGAAAGAUCAGCUAGAAAAACACAAGGAAUUUUUUGGUGAUGCUGAGACGCAUCAUGUUCUGAUUGAGUCAAUCGCACGAAAAGCUGAUCCAUACACUCGCAGUCUCUUCGCAUCUAAGCAAGCCUUUCUUGAUAAAUCCACCAAUCAGCUUCAAGCAUGUGGUACUGUUCGUGGACAAAACCUUGAGAAGAUCGUCACGGAGUGGUCUCAAUUUGAGAAGAACUUUGAUGAGUUAAAGGGAUGGCUCGGACAUGUUGAGUUACAACUACCGAGAAGCGUCAGUCAUGAUAACAUGGAGAACGUUCAGAAAGGCAUACACAAGUACCAGGCUAUGAAAAACAUUUUAGGAGAAAGGCAAGCUGCUAUGCAACAAGUUUUAGAACAAGGCCAGGCAUUGCUCAACAACAUCACCUGUGCUCCACUAGAGAAAAAGCUUGGUAACUUCAGUGACAGGUGGAAUGCUCUUCAGAAUAAGAUUGACCAGGACUUGAAGAAGCUUAACACGCUACUAGAGGAAUGGAGAGCAUUUGAGCGCGAGAGUCAAGAGUUCUUACCAUGGCUGGAUCGAUCAUUGAACCAACUUAACGACUGGAGUGUGAAGGCUAACCAAGUGGAAGACCUGAAUACAUUAGCUGUCUUGGUUGAUAGAUUUACAGAAUUCCGUAAGGAUGUAGAAAACCAUGUCCCAAUGAAAGUAUCCGUUUGCUCCCAUGGGACACAGCUUUUGCGAAUCAAGGAGUUGAAACUUCUUAAGAUUCGUGAAAAGUUGAGCAAAAUUGAACAGCAGUGGACAAGCUUACAGAAUACUGUGCCCAUAGUACAGGACCAACUACAUCACUUGCAGAUGGAGAUGUUGCCAUCAAGGCAAGCUCUUAAUGAGCUAAUUUUGUGGAUGGAAGCACUAGAGAAACAACUGAAGAAAGAUGUUGGAAACAUUUUCACAAAAUCUGAUGAGGUUGAAACACAAUUUAAACGAUACAUGGGGUACAAGAUUGUGUUGUCUGCUAAGCAGCUGACUGUUGACUUUGUUAACCAAUCUGUGCUUCAGAUUAGCCAAGACUUAGAUCAGAAACGAGGUGAUAAGACAGAUUUUGCUGAAAAACUUGGAAGUAUGAAUAAACGAUGGCAAAUUUUGAAUGCUAAGAUCGCUGAUGAAGUAAAGACUUUGGAAGAUUUGUGCAGUGACUGGAAAGAGUACGAAGCAGCUGUGCUUGAGAUGAUCACUUGGCUCGAUCAGAGUGAUGCCAAGAUCAGGAAGUAUGACAACAGAUGUGGCAAUGAAAUGUCUGUACAGCAAGCUGUCAGGGAUUGUGAGGUCAUGUCUGCCUUACUUGAAAAGAAAGAGAAGGACAUCGAGAAGGUCCGUGAAAUGGGUUUGAAAGUAGCGGACGAAACUGCAGUCAACCAAACCAUGAUGACCAUCCAACAGUCUAAGAUCAGUUUGUUGAAUCUGCUAUCCAGACUCCAAGUGGUUCUGAGAGGAGUAAAAGAACAGUGGAAUCUGUAUAGUGAGUCAUUACAGACCGUCACACAGUGUCUGGGGGAGGCAGAAUAUUCAGCUGGUAGAGUGAGAACUGUUGGUGGCACUCUUGGGUCUUUCAGAUUACAAGUGUAUAAACUCAAGGGUAUUGAGUCAGUCAAGGAACUUCAAAAGGAAUUUAAAAAUAACAGAAUUCACUUGAAUCGACUUACAAAACAAGCGAAUCAGUUGACACCAGCACUGGAGAAGACAGUUGCUGAAAGCAUUGAGAGAACUGUUGAUGACGUGUCUAGAAGGUGGAAAACAAUUGAUGAGAAAAUUAGAGACACCUUGAAACAGUUUGAGAGGUCACUUGUAAUGUGGCAGCAGUUUGAGGAACGAUACAGUGAUGUUAAAGACUGGGUGGUUGAAAAAGAACGACAUUGUAAUAAUCUAUUAGACAAUAAUAAUGAAACAGAAGAUCAAACUGACUCAGGAAAUGAUUUAAAACAAUGUGAAAUUUUACUAACAGAGCUCCAAAAUUACCAAGAUUUGAAUGAACUUAAAACCUUUAUACUGAACCUUACCAAAGAAAUGGACACGCCAACCGCAACCAAUGUCAUUGGCCGGCGCAGGAUGUUAGAACAGAAAAUGGAAACAAUGAAGCAGAGCUUAUCACGGCAUGUAGCAACACUACAAGAUGAUAUUGAUGCUCAGCAGAAAUUCCACACCAAGGCAGAGAUGUUGCUGGAGAGGUUGGCAGAUCAAGAGCAAGUAAUAUCAAGACAAGAUCCUAAUAGAUCAUCCGAUGAAAACUCGAUUCGUGACAGGAUGGAUAACCUGAAGAGUGUUAUGCACGACUUCACAAGCCACCAGGCACAGUUGGAUGCAUUGAACGAUCAGGGCUACAAGCUAAGUUUAAACCAAUCAAAUGCAUCCAGUCUGGUCCACAUUAACAACCAGUGGAACAAGUUGUCAGUGAAGGCUUCAGAGAAGUACCGCAACAUGCAAGCAGUCUUGCUGCAGCAACAAAGCUUUGCGCAAAAGUGCGACACUUGGAUGAUCUUCCUGUCACAGACCGAGAAAAAUCUUGCAGUUGAUAUUGCAGGCAACUAUGAAGACUUACUCAAACAACAAAAAGUCUAUGCUCAUUUUGAAGCAGACAUUUUCAACAGGCAGCAGAUCUUGUUCUCAAUCGUUAAUGAUGGUUUAAGGAUGAUACAAGAUGGAGAGAUUGAUGAUCCUAAUGAGUUCCAACAUAAACUGACACUUUUAAGUGAACAAUGGCAGAAUGUUGUCAAACGAGCAAGCCAACGGAAAGACAUCAUUGACAGAAACAUCAAUGACUGGCAUAGGUAUCAAGAACUGCUUGAGAAGAUGAACGAAUGGUUUAUGGAAAUUGAAGUAGAGAUCAACCAAUUAGAAUUUGAGACAGCAUCAAUUGAAACUCUUCAGAGCUUUCUUGAAGCUGCUAAGAUUACCCAGAAAGCUGUGUCUCUCAACGAAAGUAAAUACCUAGCACUGAAUGAUGCAGGCAAGCUUUUGUUGCGUAACACUGAUCGUGGUGCAUCAUCAAUGAUCCGUCAACGUUUAGCAGACUCUCAGGCCCAUUGGCACAAAGUUACCACAACAUUGAAGAGAAACCUCCAGCGCCUUGAGGAACUGAUCACUGCCUGGGAGACAUCAAAUCAGAGUAUUGAAGACAUUAACAAGUGGCUCAAGACCAUUAGGGUAAUGUCAGCUCAACCAUUGCCUGUUAUGUUUGAUGACAUGCAAAAAAUACUCCAGAAGUGCAAGGAAUACGAGGAUUGUUUCAAAAAUUCUCGUCACAAGCUCGAUCGGUUAAAUAACCAGGAGAGAAAUUUGGCAAAUAUCCUUAGUCCGGAUGACAUCUCGGUUUUACACGAGAGAUUGCUGUUGCUAAGCAAACAAUGGGAUGAGAUUCAUCAUCAGACAUGUCAGAAGAAACAGAGGAUUAUUGAAAGACUCAACCAAUGGACCAACUUUGGAUUGCGAUAUAAGGAGAUCUGUGAUUGGCUGUCUCAAAUGGAAGCAAAAGUCUCGCAGAAUGGAGAGCACAGCAUUGAAGAUCUUUUGUACAACUUGCAAGAGGGUUUUAAAGAUGAAAUUGCAGCAGCAGGCAACAACAAAGACCAGCUUAUUGACUUGGGUGAACGCUUAAUGAAGGCCAGCAAUGAACUCAAGUCCAAUGACAUUGAGUAUAAACUUGCCAAACUUAAUGACAGAUGGCAUCAUCUGAUGGAACUAAUUAUUGCAAGGGUGAAGAAACUACAAGAGACCCUAACAGCUGUACAGCAACUGGACUCCAACAUGGCUAACUUAAAGCAGUGGUUAAGUUACAUUGAAAAAGAACUUGCAUGCCCUGUUAAUUAUGAGUCAUGUGGAAAUGAAGAAAUCCAGGAAAAGUUACUGCAUCAAAUGGAGAUUCAGAAGGACAUUGAGAAACAUAGUACUGGUGUUGGGUCAGUUUUGAGCCUCUGCGAAAUGUUGCUCCAUGAUUGCGAUGCAUGCUCUACCGAUGCAGACUGUGAGGCCAUCCAAGCGGCCACACGUAGUUUGGACCAAAGAUGGCGCAAUAUCUGUACUCUUUCAAUGGAGAAAAAAAUGAGAAUUGAAGAAACGUGGAGGCUUUGGCAGAAGUUCAUGGAAGAUUACAAACGGUUUGAAGAGUGGCUUGUAAAAACUGAAAAAGCAGUUUCUUAUCCAGACACAGCUGCUACGCAGUUCAGUGCCAUACGAGAUGAGAUUAAAAAAUUUGAGGGAUUUCAACGAAAGAUUCAUGAGAAUUUAGCCCAGCUGGAAAUAAUAAACAAACAAUACCGACGCCUUGCACGAGAAGGCCGAACAGACAGUACUGACCAACUUAAGACCAGGGUACAUGAUGCAAACAAUCGCUGGGACAGCUUAGCCCGUCGCUGCAGUAGUAUACUGAGGCGACUGAAAUACAUGCAGUCAGAAAGAGAAGAGUACGAGAAUACGAGGGAAGGAUUAUUAGUUUGGUUAACAGAGAUAGAUCUGCAACUAACAAAUGUUGAACAUUUCUCAGAAUCUGAUACUUCAAUUAAAGUUAAACAAAUAAAGGCAUUCCAACAUGAAAUAGACUUGAACCAAAGUAGAAUUGAUGACAUUAAUUCAAGUGCACAAAUAUUAAUGCAACGAUGUGACCCUAACGAUGCGGUCAUAAUCCAAGAAUCGUUAGAUGAACUCCACCGAUAUUGCGAGGAAGUAUUUUCUCGUGUCGACAGAUUUCAACGCAAACUUCAACGGAUUUCCAUGGCACAGAAUCAAGCAGGUCGGGCCGGUAGGCUAAGACUUGGCUUAUCCAUGAAUCCAGAUAGCAUGUAACACAAAAUGAACUACUUGUUAAGUUCCUCCAGAGGGUACAUAUUGUGAACUGUUAACAUUUAGCAGUCUGACUUUACCAAUUGGGGGUCUGAUUGAUAAUGAUGGUGCAGAAUCCUCCGAGUAUGAAACAGGGGAAUCAAGGGAAAGUAGUCCGGACAGACAUAGUCACCAUAGCA
rnacentral:misc_RNA from 1 species